AUAAAUGCGCGUUCUCAAACUUAUUUCGCAGUGCACUGGGGGCACAGUAUAGGCUGGAGCGUAGCUUUCAACUUCAAUGGCGUGCCAGGAGCAGGGUCCACGGAAUCCGCCGUGGUCCUGACGGCGGCGCAUUCCAAAAAUGGGAAGAAUUUGUACAGACAUUUAAUCAUGUAAAAUGAAGUUGAGAUGGAUACGAAGGAUUUGAGGGACCAACAAAAGAGGUAACGAGCAAGCGCCUGAACAACAAAGAAAGCUUGUUGAAGAUGUGGGUACGUAGUUUACCUGGUUUUUCUCAUUUACACCAAUGGAGAAAAACUUUCUUGCAAUGGGUGAGUCCACAACUAUGGGUUUGAAACUCCUCCAUUGCAUGCAAUGUAUAAUCAGAGGCAAGUCAUGUUGGCUAUUGUAGAUAAUCCUUGAAAGGAGUUCAUUUAGUGAUGUACAUAUCAAGAAAGGGUGAAGCCCUUGAAGAGAUUAGUAGGUCUGAACAUACCUAUGAUGAACAUUUUGUUUGGAUUCUUGUAGCUUGUUUUUGUUGUAUAUGUUACAUGUUUUCUCCUCUUAGAAUCAAGUUUGGAUGGCAGCCAAUGUACUAUGUGAAAGUGUGGAUGAUGUUGGCGGUGGACUACGAUGGAUUUUAAAUUGUUUGAAUUUAAUGGGUUCGAUUUGUUACAAAGUCAAUCAUGUUAAUGUGAAAUUU